rnacentral:lncRNA from 1 species
CAGGCUGGGACUCUAUUCCCUGGGGUGAUGGAAGACUGGCUCUUGAGCUGCAUCCUUGGUAGCUUUUCCUUCUUCAUCUCAUUGCCAGUGAGGACACUGAGGAGGAGAAGGAGGUGAGGAGGAGGAAAAAGAUGAGGAAAAGGAGAAAACCAACCACGAUCCACUGUCACCAAAUGAGCAUGCCAGGUUGCCAUGCUGCACAGCUCCAAGAAGCACCACUGUCCAUGUGGUCAACAUGGAUGGAUCCCUGAGGAGGUGUCCAGCAGCAGCCUGCAUGCCAUGCGUGGCUCUGAAGUCAAUAAUCCUGGAAAAAGGGUCAUUCCUUCCCAAUAAACGACAGUGGGCUAUCUCCCGCAGACACCCACGAAAUUUCCCUCCUUUUCCUUCCAUGGAGGACUGGUGAAAACGUCAUCAUGGACCUGACCUGCAUCUGGAGACCAUCCCUCAGAGGUGCUGCAGAGCUCCUUUCUGCCCAGGCAUUUACGGUGGGUGAGAACUUGGAGAGGCGAGCUCACGAGGGAGUUGGGGUUUUGACUUGGCCAUGACUACUCAGCUCAGGAUGAAAGCUGAUACUUUCUGAGUGCAUUCUUUGAUUAACCCUUCAAUCCUCACAAUCACCCCAUGUCACCAGGAGGAAACUGAGGCAAAGUCCACACAACUGGCAAAUCUGGUAUGACUCUCUUUCUGUCACAGCAGUUUGCUGGCAACAGACCUACAGCCAGAUGCUCAGGUGAGUUAGUUCCAGUGGCUGCUUUUUUGUGGCACCCAGACCUCCAUUCUCUCCCUUCAUCACUGACCUGUUGCUGGUGCCUUCUUGGGACUCUCCCAAGGCCUUGCUGCUUUUCUCUCCUCCUGGGCUUUGACCAAGGCUUACCCAUGUGGCCACACAGUUUCAGCAACUUGGGGGAAAAUGAUAGGAGGUUGAAUCCCUUUCCCUUAGGAA